ACACUGCUGAGGAGUCCCAUAAUAGGACGAAACGGCCGUCCAGUAU
rnacentral:hammerhead_ribozyme from 1 species